rnacentral:rRNA from 1 species
AUGAACGCUGGCGGCGUGCCUCAUACCUGCCAGUCGAGCGAACGGACGAGAAGCUUGCUUCUCUGAUGUUAGCGGCGGACGGGUGAGUAACACGUGGAUAACCUACCUAUAAGACUGGGAUAACUUCGGGAAACCGUAGCUAAUACCGGAUAAUAUUUUGAACCGCAUGGUUCAAAAGUGAAAGACGGUCUUGCUGUCACUUAUAGAUGGAUCCGCGCUGCAUUAGCUAGUUGGUAAGGUAACGGCUUACCAAGGCAACGAUGCAUAGCCGACCUGAGAGGGGGAUCGGCCACACUGGAACUGAGACACGGUCCAGACUCCUACGGGAGGCAGCAGUAGGGAAUCUUCCGCAAUGGGCGAAAGCCUGACGGAGCAACGCCGCGUGAGUGAUGAAGGUCUUCGGAUCGUAAAACUCUGUUAUUAGGGAAGAACAUAUGUGUAAGUAACUGUGCACAUCUUGACGGUACCUAAUCAGAAAGCCACGGCUAACUACGU